AACGAACGCUGGCGGCAUGCUUAACACAUGCAAGUCGAACGCUCUUAGGACUUCGGUUUUAAAGGGAGUGGCAGACGGGUGAGUAACGCGUGGGAACGUACCUUUUGGUUCGGAAUAACGAUUGGAAACGAUCGCUAAUACCGGAUAACCUCGAGAGAGGAAAGAUUUAUCGCCAAGAGAGCGGCCCGCGUUAGAUUAGGUAGUAGGUGGGGUAAUGGCCUUACAAGCCUGCGAUCUAUAGCUGGUCUGAGAGGAUGAUCAGCCACACUGGGAAUGGGACGCAGCCCAGACUCCUACGGGAGGCGGCAUUGGGGAAUAUUGGACAAUGGGGGAAACCCUGAUCCAGCAAUGCCGCGUGAGUGAUGAAGGCCUUCGGGUUGUAAAGCUCUUUUACCUGUGAAGAUAAUGACUGUAGCAGGGGAAGAAGCUCCGGCUAACUUCGUGCCAGCCGCCGCCGUAA
rnacentral:rRNA from 1 species